rnacentral:rRNA from 1 species
UACGGAGGGUGCGAGCGUUGUUCGGAAUCACUGGGCGUAAAGCGCGUGUAGGCGGCCCACUAAGUCUGAUGUGAAAGCCCGGGGCUCACCCCCGGAAGUGCAUUGGAAACUGGUGGACUCGAGUCCCGGAGAGGAGAGUGGAAUUCCUGGUGUAGCGGUGAAAUGCGUAGAUAUCUGGAGGAACACCGGUGGCGAAAGCGGCUCACUGGACCAUAACUGACGCUGAGGUGCGGAAGCUAGGGUAGCAAACGGG